ACUCCUACGGGAGGCAGCAGUAGGGAAUCUUCCGCAAUGGGCGAAAGCCUGACGGAGCAACGCCGCGUGAGUGUAUGAAGGUUUUACGGAUCGUAAAACUCUGUUAUUAGGGAAGAACAAACGUGUAAGUAACUGUGCACGUCUUGACGGUACCUAAUCAGAAAGCCACGGCUAACUACGUGCCAGCAGCCGCGGUAAUACGUAGGUGGCAAGCGUUAUCCGGAAUUAUUGGGCGUAAAGCGCGCGUAGGCGGUUUUUAAGUCUGAUGUGAAAGCCCACGGCUCAACCGUGGAGGGUCAUUGGAAACUGGAAAACUUGAGUGCAGAAGAGGAAAGUGGAAUUCCAUGUGUAGCGGUGAAAUGCGCAGAGAUAUGGAGGAACACCAGUGGCGAAGGCGACUUUCNGGUCUGUAACUGACGCUGAUGUGCGAAAGCGUGGGGAUCAAACAGGAUUAGAUACCCUGGUAGGAUAGCGU
rnacentral:rRNA from 1 species